rnacentral:tRNA from 1 species
UCCCUGGUAAUCCAUUGGUUAAGACUCUGUGCUGACAAUGCAGGGGGCCUGGAUUCAAUUCCUGGUCAGGGAA